rnacentral:rRNA from 1 species
GAAUUCGAUUCAGGCCUAACACAUGCAAGUCGAACGAUGAAGCCGGAGCUUGCUCCGGUGGAUUAGUGGCGAACGGGUGAGUAACACGUGAGCAAUCUGCCCUUGACUCUGGGAUAACUGCGGGAAACUGUAGCUAAUACCGGAUACGACACCUUGGGGCAUCCCAGGGUGUGGAAAGAAUUUCGGUCAAGGAUGAGCUCGCGGCCUAUCAGCUAGUUGGUGAGGUAAUGGCUCACCAAGGCGACGACGGGUAGCCGGCCUGAGAGGGUGACCGGCCACACUGGAACUGAGACACGGUCCAGACUCCUACGGGAGGCAGCAGUGGGGAAUAUUGCACAAUGGGCGAAAGCCUGAUGCAGCAACGCCGCGUGAGGGAUGAAGACCGUCGGGUUGUAAACCUCUUUAGCAGGGAAGAAGCGAAA